rnacentral:tRNA from 1 species
UAGCUCAGUUGGUAGAGCAUGGUGUUUGCAACGCCAGGGUUGUGGGUUCAUUCCCCAC